rnacentral:rRNA from 1 species
AGUCGAGGGGCAGCAUAGGUAGCAAUACUUGAUGGCGACCGGCAAACGGGUGCGGAACACGUACGCAACCUUCCUUUAAGUGGGGAAUAGCUUCCGGAAACGGAAAUUAAUACCCCGUAAUAUUAUGAAGUGGCAUCAUUUUAUAAUUAUAGAUUCAUCGCUUAAAGAUGGGCGUGCGCCUGAUUAGGUAGUUGGCGGGGUAACGGCCCACCAAGCCUUCGAUCAGUAACUGGUGUGAGAGCACGACCAGUCACACGGGCACUGAGACACGGGCCCGACUCCUACGGGAGGCAGCAGUAAGGAAUAUUGGUCAAUGGACGCAAGUCUGAACCAGCCAUGCCGCGUGGAGGAUGAAGGUCCUCUGGAUUGUAAACUUCUUUUAUUUGGGAAGAAAAAAGGGAAUUCUUUCUCACUUGACGGUACCAGAUGAAUAAGCACCGGCUAACUCCGUGCCAGCAGCCGCGGUAAUACGGAGGGUGCAAGCGUUAUCCGGAUUUACUGGGUUUAAAGGGUGCGCAGGCGGAUAUGUAAGUCAGUGGUGAAAUCUCCGGGCUUAACCCGGAAACUGCCGUUGAUACUAUAUAUCUUGAAUGCUGUGGAGGUAAGCAGAAUAUGUCAUGUAGCGGUGAAAUGCUUAGAUAUGACAUAGAAUACCUAUUGCGAAGGCAGCUUACUACGCAGAUAUUGACGCUCAUGCACGAAAGCG